AAGUCGUAACAAGGUUUCCGUAGGUGAACCUGCGGAAGGAUCAUUAUCAAAGUAUAAUAUCCACACCAAACGUGAACUGUUUGUCCAGUAAGUUAUUGAAAAUAAUUUUCUGGGCUCUUUUUAAUGAAUAUUUCUUUUUUUGGCUUCAAUUCUGAUGGAGGAGCUAGCUUUUGCUUUUUCUUCUUUCUGUUUUUGAUUGCUAUUUAAAAGAUUUGUUUCAUUAAAUUUUUAACCAAUUAAACCUUAUUAAUAUAACUUUUGACUGAUUUUUUCUUACCCAACCUAAAAAAUUGGGAAGAAAUUAUGUUUAUACGAAACAUAAGUACAACUCUUAGCAACGGAUAUCUCGGCUCUCAU
rnacentral:misc_RNA from 1 species